rnacentral:rRNA from 1 species
UACAGAGGUCUCAAGCGUUUGUUCGGGAUUCAUUGGGCGUAAAGGGUGUGUAGGUGGCGCCGUAAGUCGGGUGUGAAAUUUCGGAGCUUAACUCCGAAACUGCAUUCGAUACUGCGGUGCUUGAGGACUGGAGAGGAGACUGGAAUUCAUGGUGUAGCAGUGAAAUGCGUAGAGAUCAUGAGGAAGACCAGUGGCGAAGGCGGGUCUCUGGACAGUUCCUGACACUGAGACACGAAGGCCAGGGGAGCAAAACGGG